rnacentral:rRNA from 1 species
CGUAGGGUGCGAGCGUUAAUCGGAAUUACUGGGCGUAAAGCGUGCGCAGGCGGUUUUGUAAGACAGGCGUGAAAUCCCCGGGCUCAACCUGGGAACUGCGCUUGUGACUGCAAGGCUAGAGUACGGCAGAGGGGGUGGAAUUCCACGUGUAGCAGUGAAAUGCGUAGAGAUGUGGAGGAACACCAAUGGCGAAGGCAGCCCCCUCGGGUCGAUACUGACGCUCAUGCACGAAAGCGUGGGUAGCAAACAGGAUUAGAUACCCUGGUAGUCCACGCCCUAAACGAUGUCAACUAGGUGUUGGGUGGGUAAAACCAUUUAGUACCGGAGCUAACGCGUGAAGUUGACCGCCUGGGGAGUACGGCCGCAAGGUUA